AAUUGGCCAGUGGUUUGGCUCUUAUUUUGCCACAAGUGGGUUCAACAUCGAAAUCCGAGCCAAGGGGAGAAAUUUUACCUCGUUUGGCGACCGAAAAGUGCUCCGUUGCGAAAUGCAUCAAGUGUCUCAUUAGGCAUUUUAUCUCGGAGGGGUUUCUAUUUCUCCCUCCCCCGUCUGGUCUAGAAAGAUGUUAAAGGACUACUUCUUGUGGAUGAUGGCAUACCCUCUAACGAGAGUGGUGACACAAAUAUCUGUUAGGGGUCACAUUUGGUUAAGUACUGUCAUGGUGAUAGAAUAUAUGAUAGGACCACUGUGGUUGGUACAACCGUGGUCAUAGAUUGUACCAUGGUUUUGCAAGCCAAAAAUGUACCUGAGCAAAUUGUUGUUAUAUAUCUGAUAUGCUCAUUCCACAUAGAUACUCAAAAAUCCAUAUCUCCCC
rnacentral:lncRNA from 1 species